rnacentral:misc_RNA from 1 species
AUAUGCUAAGAUCUUGAUGCAUACACAGCCACCAGAUCCGGAGCUACAGAAUCAGAUUUGGGCAAUAUUCAGGAAGUAUGAAGGCUGCAUCGAUGUAGAGAUACAGCAACGGGCUGUGGAAUACUUCGAGUUGAGUAAGAAAGGUGCAGCUUUAAUGGACAUCUUAUCUGAAAUGCCAAAGUUCCCUGAGCGACAGUCGUCACUGAUAAAAAAAGCUGAGGAUACUGAGACUGAUACCGCUGACCAAAGUGCAAUCAAGUUGCGUGCACAACAGCAAAAUUCUAAUGCUUUAGUAGUGACAGACCAACACCAUGCUAAUGGAACUCCACCAGUCAACCAGUUAGGUCCAGUAAAAGUUCCAAGCACGAGCAAUGUGGAUUGUGACUCAGUGGAUCAAAGGGAGGCUCAGUCAAAUGGAACUUUGACCAUUGUGGAUCCUCAACCCCCUUCAAGCGCUUCGCCUGAUCUCCUGGGUGAUCUUUUAAGUCCUCUGGCUAUUGAGGGCCCUCACUCUGCUGAGAACCAAUCUAACCAUAGUUUAAGUGCUGGUGUUGAAGGUGCUGCAAUUGUGGAGGAGGCGCUAGCACUUGCACCUAUUGAAGAACAGACUGCAACAGUUCAGCCAAUAGGAAAUAUUGCAGAAAGGUUUCAAGCCUUGGUCCUCAAAGACAGUGGUAUACUGUAUGAGGAUCCUUAUAUUCAGAUUGGCACAAAAGCAGAGUGGCGAGCACAUCAUGGACGGUUGGUCCUCUUCUUGGGAAACAAGAAUACGGCUCCUCUUGUUUCGGUUCAGGCUCUGAUAUUGCCCCCAUCUCAUCUGAGAAUAGAACUGUCAUUAGUACCCGAGACAAUUCCUCCUCGUGCACAGGUUCAAUGUCCUCUUGAAGUAGUCAACCUCCGUCCAAGUAGGGAUGUGGCGGUUCUUGACUUCUCAUAUAAUUUUGGGGCGCAGUUGGUCAAUGUUAAACUUCGACUCCCUGCCAUCUUGAAUAAGUUUCUUCAGCCUAUUACAGUAUCUGCCGAAGAGUUUUUCCCGCAGUGGAGAUCACUAUCUGGGCCGCCACUGAAGCUGCAAGAAGUGGUUAGAGGUGUAAGACCAAUGUCACUUCUGGAAAUGACAAACCUGUUCAACAGUUUACGCUUGAUGGUUUGUCCAGGGCUUGAUCCAAAUGCAAAUAAUUUGGUUGCUAGCACAACUUUCUACUCCGACAGUACACGAGCCAUGUUGUGUUUGGUGAGAAUAGAAACAGAUCCAGCUGAUAGAACUCAACUGCGUAUGACAGUUGCUUCUGGAGAUCCUACUCUGACAUUCGAGUUGAAGGAGUUCAUUAAAGAACAAUUGAUUAUAAUCCCUACAGCUGCCACGGCUGCUGCACAACCAGUUCCUCAGCCAACCUCUUCAUCUCCACCAGUAUCAGACCCUGGGGCACUGCUAGCUGGUUUGCUUUAAGUGGUUUUCAAUUUGUGAUGGACUUUGUCCACAAACGACGGCUGUAAAAUUUGUUUAUAUUGCACACCACAAGUCCCAAAGGCAAGAUGGACAUUGAGAAAUAGGAUGCCAGGGCUGGCGGAAGAGAGGGUGAGACUUCUGAUCGGCAUAGCAUAUCAUUGGAUUUCUGGGACGUUAAAUCGGAGUUUUGAGAUUCUUUUGCACAUAUAUUUUGUGCUUUCGUGAGGUCUGUAGCCUUUAGAUGUGAGGGUCUAUUAAUUCUUUUCUUUCUUCUCCUUUAAAUUUCAUAUUUCCCUUUAGUCAGGCUUUACAUAUUGGUUUGCCCCUAUGUAUUUUAGUUUCCUACUACUAUAUUUAGGAAAAAGAAA